UACGGAGGGUGCAAGCGUUAUCCGGAUUCACUGGGUUUAAAGGGUGCGUAGGCGGGCAGGUAAGUCAGUGGUGAAAUCCCCGAGCUUAACUCGGGAACUGCCAUUGAUACUAUCUGUCUUGAAUAUUGUGGAGGUAAGCGGAAUAUGUCAUGUAGCGGUGAAAUGCUUAGAUAUGACAUAGAACACCUAUUGCGGAGGCAGCUUACUACGCAUAUAUUGACGCUGAGGCACGAAAGCGUGGGGAUCAAACAGG
rnacentral:rRNA from 1 species